rnacentral:rRNA from 1 species
UACGUAGGGGGCAAGCGUUGUCCGGAAUCAUUGGGCGUAAAGCGCGUGUAGGCGGCUCGAUAAGUCUGCUGUGAAAGUCCAGGGCUCAACCCUGGGAUGCCGGUGGAUACUGUCGGGCUAGAGUCCGGAAGAGGCGAGUGGAAUUCCUGGUGUAGCGGUGAAAUGCGCAGAUAUCAGGAGGAACACCAAUGGCGAAGGCAGCUCGCUGGGACGUGACUGACGCUGAGACGCGAAAGCGUGGGGGAGCAAACAGG